UGAGCUAUAUAUGGAUGCCUAGGUACACUUAUAGUAGAUAGACGUAAACUUAACAACGAAAAAUCAUAAUUAGAUGUCGAGAACUCAGUUAUGAUUGUCUAUUACAGAAAACUGUAUAAUAUAAUAAUAAGUUAUUAAUAAUAACUUAUAAAAACUUAGCGAACUGAAACAUCUUAGUAGCUAAAGGAAAAUAAAUCAACCGAGAUUCCGUAAGUAGUGGUGAGCGAACGCGGAUUUAGGCCUAAAAUAAUAGAUAGUAUAAAUGUGCAGAAAGUUAUUACCAAAGAGGGUAACAAGUCCCGUAUGUGAGCAUUUUUAUUUAUUAUUGUGAGUAAGGCGGGAUCUGUGAAGUCCUGUUUGAAUAUUGUGGAACCACCCACAAAGCCUAAAUAAUAAGUGUAACCGAUAGUGAACAAGUACCGCGAGGGAAAUGGUGAAAAAGAAACCUAAAAAGGGUAUUGAAAUUAGAUACUGAAAUAUAUAGCUUUCAAGCAGUUAGAGUCCACAUCGUGGAUGAUAGCGUACCUCUUGUAUCAUGGGUCAGCGACUAGAUUUAUUUAGCGAGUUUAAGAUAUUUAAAUGUCUAAGGCGUAGCGAAAGCAAAUUUUAAUUUUAGUAUUUAGCUAAAUGAAUCUGACACGAAACCACUUGAUCUAAUCAUGAACAGGAUGAAUUUGGCUUAAAAAACCAUUGGAGGUCCGAACUCGUAUCUGUUGCAAAAGAUUGAGACGAUUUGUGAUUAGGGGUGAAAGGCUUAUCAAAAGUGGAGAUAGCUUGUUAUUCGCGAAAUCUAUUUAAGUAGAGUGUCGUAAUUAUUAAAUUUAUGGGUAGAGUACAAGGUGGUUGCGAGGGUUUUUCGGAAUCUGUCAAGACCAACGUAACUCCGAAUAAUAAAUUUUUUUAUACGGCGAACAGACAGUGAGUGCGAAGAUUCAUUGUCAAAAGGGUAACAGCCCAGAUCGAAAGUUAAGGUCUUAAAAUGAUAACCUAGUGUGCGUAAGGUUUUAUUAUCUUCUAGGCUCAAGAGUAGCUUUAACAGUGAGCAUCUCUUAAAGAACGUGUGCCAACGCAUGAACCUGAGUGUAAACUUGGUAUAGAAUCGUCGAUGAAGCGAGACUCUCAGUUAUCUAACCGAAACUUCGAAGGAUAUUUCCUGGUAGCGAAUUGUUUUGUAGGUCUGUGAAGGUGAUACUUAAGUAUUGCUGGAGAUAUCAAAAGUAAGAAUGCUGACAUGAGUAGCGUAACUUAAUGCGUUAGUUAUAAUUUAUUUUAUAAUUAGCAAAAAAACAUUAUCUCCUUAAGAGGAAGGGUUUCUACGCUAGGUUUAACCACGUAGAGUUAGUCGGUAUCUAAGGUUUUUGGCGAAAGCUUUAAACUGAUGGUCAUUAGAAUUUAAACUUCUGAUUAAGUGUAAUCGAUUUAAUUCGGGUUUACGAAUCUACAGGCGUUUUAAUUUAUAUAAGUAUUUAGCUAUUUUAAUUGAUUAUUGUUUUCAUAUUGCUUUGUUGGAUCUUUAAUCUUUUGGAGUAUUGGCUUUAUAAUUGUUAUAUAGGUUAUAGUAAUGGGUUUGUUAUUAUUUUUUGAUUUAACUACUUGUUCAAGCGCUUCUAGAAAUAGUUUUGUAAACUAAAGUUACACUUAACCGUACUCAAACCGCCACAGGUCCUCGUGCACUAUUUAUGCUCAGGAGUUUGAAAUAACUGUACUGAAGGAACUCGGCAAACUCACUCUGUAACUUCGGGAGAAAGAGUGCCUUUUAGAGCUUUAUAGUUUUUCUAGUUAGAUUUGAAAGCUUGACAAAGGUCGCAGUGAAGAGGGGAUAACGACUGUUUAUCAAAAACACAGGAGUCUGCUAAGUCUUACGACGAUGUAUAGGCUCUGACGCCUGCCCAAUGCGGUAAACUUAAGAGGCGCGAUUUAAAAAGUUGCAAAUCUAUGGGUCCCGUGAAUGGCGGCCUUAACCAUGAGGGUCCAAAGGUAGCGUAGUACCUCGUCUGUUAAUUGCAGACUUGCAUGAAUGGCCGUCCGAUUUUCCGCUGUCUCCAGUACAGGUUCAGCGAAUUUGAAUUCUCCGUGAAGAUGCGGAGUAUUACUCUUAGUAAGACGGAAAGACCCCAUGCACCUUUACUCUAUGUUUACUUUGUCGAUACAAAUAAUCUGUGUAGGAUAUGCGUUAGCUUUUGAUGUCUCAACGCCAGUUGAUUGCUGAAGCACCCUUGAAAUAGCGCUCUGAUUAUGAGUAUGGACUAAUCUACGAUAAGCAUGUAGAGACACAGUAUGCUGGGGAGUUUAACUGGGGCGGUUGCCUCCUAAAGUGUAACGAGGCGUGCAAAGGUAAGCUCAUCCUGGGGAUCUCCGUGAUCUUUCAAGAGAUGUAGUAUAAUGGCAUAAGCUUGCCUGACUGUAAGAGUGACAAUUCUUGCAGGGACGAAAGUCGGCCAUAGUGAUCCAGUGAUAUAGAGUGGAAUAGUCACUGCUCAACGGAUAAAAGGUACGCUGGGGAUAACAGCUAAUGGUCUCCAAGAGUCCACAUCGACGAGACCGUUUGGCACCUCGAUGUCGGCUCAUCCAAGCGACGGAGUGUAGUAGCUUCGAAUCGUUGGUCUGUUCGACCAUUAAUGGGGUACGUGAGCUGGGUUCAGAACGUCGUGAGACAGUUCGGUCCCUAUCUGCUAAGAGUGUUGAAAACUGAGGGGAUUUCUUGCCUAGUACGAGAGGACUGCGUUUUUAUAUGUAUUUGGUACAUAUAAUAUAGAGAUGAUUUCUAAGACAUAAUAGAGGAGCUAUCGAUUGUAAUCCAGCUAUAGUGCAAAACGUACGCUGGGUAGCUACAUAGCACAACAUAACUACUGAAUACAUCAAUUUUUGUAGGAAGGUUGCCCCAAGACUAGUUUUCUUAAAUCCGUAGUAGACUAUUACGUAGAAUAGGCUAGGUGUG
rnacentral:rRNA from 1 species